rnacentral:lncRNA from 1 species
GGAUUUUUCAGAAACACAUACAAAUUCAAAGGAAAUACUCUACUGGUGACUACACAGAUGGUGAUCCAGCUGGGACUAGAGGCUUUUGGACAGUACCAGAUUGGAAGUCUUACAACAUAAUUUCUCCCACAUUUUAUGGGGAAAACCAAAUAACAAAAUCAAUCCAAUUUAAAGAGUAUAAAUGUAUAAUCCACACAUUAAGUAGAACUCUGAACAACCUUAUGACUUUCCAACUUACCAUAAGUCAAAUGAACAAAACCAAAAAUGGCUAUAUAACUUAAAUUAC